CCUACGGGUGGCAGCAGUGAGGAAUAUUGGUCAAUGGGCGGGAGCCUGAACCAGCCAAGUCGCGUGAGGGAAGAAGGUACUGAGUAUUGUAAACCUCUUUUGCCAGGGGACAAAGGCGGCCACGGGUGGCCGUAAGAGGGUACCUGGAGAAAAAGCAUCGGCUAACUCCGUGCCAGCAGCCGCGGUAAUACGGAGGAUGCGAGCGUUAUCCGGAUUUAUUGGGUUUAAAGGGAGCGUAGAUGGGUUGUUAAGUCAGUUGUGAAAGUUUGCGGCUCAACCGUAAAAUUGCAAUUGAUACUGGCAGCCUUGAGUACAGUUGAGGUAGGCGGAAGUCGUGGUGUAGCGGUGAAAUGCUUAGAUAUCACGAAGAACUCCGAUUGCGAAGGCAGCUUACUAAACUGCCACUGACAUUGAUGCUCGAAAGUGUGGGUAUCAAACAGGAUUAGAUACCCGAGUAGUC
rnacentral:rRNA from 1 species